CCUACGGGAGGCAGCAGUGAGGAAUAUUGGUCAAUGGACGAGAGUCUGAACCAGCCAAGUCGCGUGAAGGAUGACGGCCCUAUGGGUUGUAAACUUCUUUUAUAAAGGAAUAAAACGAGGCACGUGUGCCUUUUUGCAUGUACUUUAUGAAUAAGGAUAGGCUAACUCCGUGCCAGCAGCCGCGGUAAUACGGAGGAUCCGAGCGUUAUCCGGAUUGAUUGGGUUUAAAGGGAGCGUAGAUGGGUUGUUAAGUCAGUUGUGAAAGUUUGCGGCUCAACCGUAAAAUUACAAUUGAUACUGGCAGUCUUGAGUGCAGUUGAGGUAGGCGGAAUGCGUGGUGUAGCGGUGAAAUGCUUAGAUAUCACGAAGAACCCCGAUUGCGAAGGCAGCUUACUAAACUGUAACUGACAUUGAUGCUCGAAAGUGUGGGUAUCAAACAGGAUUAGAUACCCUUGUAGUC
rnacentral:rRNA from 1 species